UGGUCCCGUAGCUCAGCUGGAUAGAGCAACGGCCUUCUAAGCCGUGGGUCACAGGUUCGAAUCCUGUCGGGAUCGCCAU
rnacentral:tRNA from 1 species